rnacentral:lncRNA from 1 species
CUUGGAACUAGGAUUGGGGUGGGGUUCAUCCCACCCAGACCACAGAGACUGAAAAUAAGAAAGGGGUGAGGCCUAAGGGACAAUCAGGAUGUUUUUCAGAGAGAAGUGUGGAUGCUGGACAGGAAGAACCACAGAUACCAGAUACGGCUGCGUAUCUUCUGGAUACGGAAGGAUCACACUGCACAGAGUGCUGGACUUGCAGGAGCCCCGCUUCUCAACCUCCAUCGCUUUAUGAAUGAAUUCACCAGAAAGAAAAGGAAGAAUCAACACUUUCAGAGAUGGAGCCUGUUGAGCCACAGUACCAACUAGUCAAUGCUGAAUCGACUUCUCCCUUUCUACAUUGCCUGAGAGAAGUCAUUGGGGAAUACUCUGUACACGAAUUUUCACUGUUGGGGAAAACAGAGAGUCAAGGGAUUGGAUUGUGGAUUGCAUUGGUGGUUUUCCUCAGUUUCCUCAUCUUCUCCACAAGUUUCUACAUAUCGAAUGCAGAGCAGCCCUUCUUCAAAGGACCUCCUACGGAAGCUGCUAAGGAACUCAGUCUGUAGCUCUGCGUGGAGCCAUGUGUAAACACUGAACUGAGACCUGCCACCUCCUACUACCUAAGGGCCCAUUUUCAUCUGAUAUCAUCCCCCAGAAACAAACUCAUGAUGACUUCCAUGUUUUUUUUAGAUUAGAUACAUGGAGAAUUUUCCUUUCCCUUAGAAUUAAAAUCCUGCAUUCUAAUUUUCAGUAAGCUUUUUUAUUUCUGAAUAAUUUUAAAUUUAAAGAGAAGUUGCAAAGAUAGUAUAGAAUGUUCCCUUAUACCUGUUUUUAUUUAGAGUGAUGUUCCCAGGAGAAAUGAUAAUGCAGCAAUGGACAAGAACAGGAACAAGAGACAGUCUUACCAUCUUCUUACAAUUUAUAGAUGGGACAGUGGAAAGAGAAGCCACAUCGGGGUUGGGCAUGCAGAGACCUGGUCCUAAAUCUGUGUGACUUUUGCGAAAUCCUUUUGCCUCACAGAGCUCUAGGUUCUUAUCUGUCAAACAGGAACCAGACCAUCAGAUCCGUAGAGAUCCAACCAAUGAAGGAGACUUCGAAAACUUCACAUUGCCGUGUCAAUGUGAGGUUGCUGGAUGGUUAUGACAAGAAAUCACAUUAAAUUCACUGGGGUAACAUUGUUCAUGAAACGGGAUAAUGUGUUUCAGCGAUGAACCACCCAUGGCCUUACUACAGACAUAUUUCCACUUUGAAAAUGUGUGUGAGUGUACAUGUCUGUGUGUGAGGCAGAGAUUAGAAAGUGUAAAUGUGUGCGUUUUCAUUUUACACAUCUUACAUUUUCCUUUAAUUUGUUUGAAAGCCUGUUUUGUUUGUGGCUUCCAUUCCUGGAAGUCCCAUGAGUUGUUAGUGGUGAAGAUGGAACAGAUGUGUCCAACCCGGGGGACUCCUGCCCUCAGGGACUGAGCAGCUGCAAACCUCUCUCUCAUCUGAUUCCACUGUUUCUUCCACAUGUACACAUCAUGAGAAAUAUUGUUCAAUCAAUAUCUUCCCUUAAAUCAACUCAUAUGCUUAUUUACAUGAAUUUACCUAAAACAGAAACUUGAUAUCACUUCUGUAAAUGAAAAAAUUAAACUUUCUGGCUUUAAAUAAAGCAUAACAAUAAUAAUCAUGUCAAAA